AAGUAAGGACGACCUUACCGCUCCAACUCAUAGGGGACGGCCCC
rnacentral:ncRNA from 1 species